AAAGUACUCCCUCCGUCCCAAAAUUCUUGUCUUAGAUUUGUCUAGAUUGAUGUUCAUAAAAUGUGACUUGAUACAUCCGUAUCUAGACAAAUCUAAGACAAGAAAUUUGGGACAGAGGGAGUAGUUG
rfam:Triticum aestivum genome assembly, contig: Triticum_aestivum_CS42_TGACv1_scaffold_129984_2BL